AUGUCUUCCUCCAGCGCCGCCCAAACCAAUCUCAGCGGCCAGGUCGCGGAGAAACUCUCCCUGACGAACUACGUCCUGUGGCAAACACAAGUUACACCACAGCUAAGGGGAGCUGGGCUCUUCGGCUAUGUCGAUGGAACCAUGCCAGAACCCGCCCGCCUCCUCGUCACCAAGGACAAGGAAGGCAAAGAGUCGUGCGAGCUCAAUCCUCUUCAUCCCAUCUGGGUGAGGGAGGAUCAGCAGGUGCUGGGCUACCUCCUCAACAAUCUCACCAAAGAAGUGUUGAUCGCGGUGACCACG
rnacentral:rRNA from 1 species